GCCCGACCCCUUUUGGUGCGCCGCCGCCUCCUCUUCUCGUCUCAUCCCUGGUGCCAUCUCCUCUCAGCCCUAGCGCCGCCAUCUUCCUCCCGAUCCUCUCCGCCUCUUCCUCCAAACCGCACAGCCCGAUUCUGUGUCUCCAAUCAGCCAACGCCGUCGUCUCUUCCACAGUCUCCUGCACCAAAUUCCCCAGCCCGCAAUUGUGUCAUAAUUGGCCUGACAUGGCUGAAACUCCCUUCGUGCUGCUGCAACUGAGCUUUGGUGCUGGCUGGAGUACACGGAAAAGGGAAGAGAUUGUCUAGCAAAUUAGUGGAUUGAACGAGGCUUGAUAAAUUCUAGUGGCGAGCGUGUGGCGCCGGAUUCCCGACAAGGUUAAG